rnacentral:tRNA from 1 species
GGGUAGGUGGCGGAGUGGUCAAUCGCACCAGACUGUAAAUCUGGCGGACUUAGUCCUUCGGAGGUUCAAAUCCUCCCCUGCCCA